GCCAGUUCGNGGGGCAGCGGGGGUAGCAAUACCCGCCGGCGACCGGCAAACGCNGUGCGGAACACGUACGCAACCGUUCCUUUAACUGGAGAAUAGCCCCUCGAAAGAGGGAUUAAUACUCCGUAACAUAUACAUGUGGCAUCACAAGUAUAUUAUAGCUCCGGCGGUUAAAGAUGGGCGUGCGCCUGAUUAGAUAGUUGGCGGGGUAACGGCCCACCAAGUCUGCGAUCAGUAACUGGUGUGAGAGCACGACCAGUCACACGGGCACUGAGACACGGGCCCGACUCCUACGGGAGGCAGCANUAAGGAAUAUUGGUCAAUGGACGCAAGUCUGAACCAGCCAUGCCGCGUGGAGGAUUAAGGCCCUCUGGGUUGUAAACUCCUUUUAUCUGGGAANAAAUGCUUUUUUUUCUAAAGUGCUUGACGGUACCAGAGGAAUAANCACCGGCUAACUCCGUGCCAGCAGCCGCGGUAAAUAACGGANGGUGCANGCGUUUNAUCCCGGAUUCACUGGGNUUUAAAGGUUGC
rnacentral:rRNA from 1 species